AUACGGAGGGGGUUAGCGUUGUUCGGAAUUACUGGGCGUAAAGCGUACGUAGGCGGAUCGGAAAGUAAGGGGUGAAAUCCCAGGGCUCAACCCUGGAACUGCCUCUUAAACUCCCGGUCUUGAGUUCGAGAGAGGUGAGUGGAAUUCCUAGUGUAGAGGUGGAAUUCGUAGAUAUUAGGAGGAACACCAGUGGCGAAGGCGGCUCACAGGCUCGAUACUGACGCUGAGGUACGAAAGUGUGGGGAGCAAACGGGAUUAGAUACCCUAGUAGUCC
rnacentral:rRNA from 1 species